CUGGCGGCAUGCCUAAUACAUGCAAGUCGAACGAGAUCUUCGGAUCUAGUGGCGCACGGGUGCGUAACGCGUGGGAAUCUGCCCCUGGGUUCGGAAUAACUUCUGGAAACGGAAGCUAAUACCGGAUGAUGACGUAAGUCCAAAGAUUUAUCGCCCAAGGAUGAGCCCGCGUAGGAUUAGCUAGUUGGUGGGGUAAAGGCUCACCCAAGGCGACGAUCCUUAGCUGGUCUGAGAGGAUGAUCAGCCACACUGGGACUGAGACACGGCCCAGACUCCUACGGGAGGCAGCAGUAGGGAAUAUUGGACAAUGGGCGAAAGCCUGAUCCAGCAAUGCCGCGUGAGUGAUGAAGGCCUUAGGGUUGUAAAGCUCUUUUACCCGGGAUGAUAAUGACAGUACCGGGAGAAUAAGCUCCGGCUAACUCCGUGCCAGCAGCCGCGGUAAUACGGAGGGGAGCUAGCGUUGUUCGGAAUUACUGGGCGUAAAGCGCACGUAGGCGGCUAUUCAAGUCAGAGGUGAAAGCCCGGGGCUCAACCCCGGAACUGCCUUUGAAACUAGAUAGCUUGAAUCCAGGAGAGGUGAGUGGAAUUCCGAGUGUAGAGGUGAAAUUCGUAGAUAUUCGGUAGAACACCAGUGGCGAAGGCGG
rnacentral:rRNA from 1 species